UACGGGAGGCAGCAGUGGGGAAUAUUGCACAAUGGGCGCAAGCCUGAUGCAGCCAUGCCGCGUGUAUGAAGAAGGCCUUCGGGUUGUAAAGUACUUUCAGUCGUGAGGAGGGUGUUAAGGUUAAUAACCUUAGCAAUUGACGUUAGCGACAGAAGAAGCACCGGCUAACUCCGUGCCAGCAGCCGCGGUAAUACGGAGGGUGCGAGCGUUAAUCGGAAUUACUGGGCGUAAAGGGCACGCAGGCGGUUAAUUAAGUUGGAUGUGAAAUCCCCGGGCUUAACCUGGGAAUGGCAUUCAAGACUGGUUAGCUAGAGUCUUGUAGAGGGGGUAGAAUUCCAUGUGUAGCGGUGAAAUGCGUAGAGAUGUGGAGGAAUACCGGGUGGCGAAGGCGGCCCCUGGGACAAAGACUGACGCUCAUGUGCGAAAGCGUGGGGAGCAAACAGGAUUAGAUACC
rnacentral:rRNA from 1 species